GAGAGAGAGAGAGAGAGAAAGAGAGGGAGUAAAAAGAUGAAGAAAGAGAAAGAGAACGACGAUGUAUAGAGAUCAUAGUCGAGAAGGAGGAAGAAAGAGGAUGAGGAGGGAAAAAAGAUAGGAGGAGGAGGAUAAGGGGUUAGGAGGAGGGCACCAGUAAAAUAUCUCUCUCUCGAGCGAAGGAGAAAGGAGAAUCGGCCGGCACAUGGGUCUGCGGGUCGAUACUCUAGCACCGGAGAGAACGCUCAGUACGCUUGCACUCGGCCGAGUACGUCUGCACCGGGGACGCCUGGCCGCUCGCCCUAGCUGUGCGUACAACAUGAGUACUUGGUGGGGGAAGAAUGCUCGUAGUCGUGAAUGAAGAUCGAAUUUUGGGUUCGGCCGAUCUUUGAAUAAAUAAUAAUUCGAUCGUCGAUACCUUGUUUAUAUACAUCUCUCGAGGCCGUCAAAGUUACGAGGAUGGUGUCUCUGAAUUAUUUCGGUGUGGAAAUGAUCUAUAUAAUGAAGUAAUGACGGGCCGUCGUCCGAGAGAAGAUAGAGAGAGGCUAAUGGUCCCUGUUACUACGUGGAAGAAGAGAAGGAAGAAGAAGAAAAUGUGCUUUCGUCUAUAGCCCGAGCAUCUUGAAGAAUUUUAUCUCCAAGUGUAGAGAGGAAGAGUCCCCAGCACUUUUCAGUAGGGAUACAUAUGUAUGUCUGCUCGGAUAUACAUCGUAUCAAUGUAGAUAGAAAUAAAAGAACACAAAUGGCAACCUUUGUCUGCCGUCAAAGCAUAUCGAUUGCAAGCCGUAUCCCAUGGAAAUCCUUUGCACCGUCGACAUCAACAACGACGACGUCACCUGAAAGCACAAAUUUUGAAUUAAUUCAACG